AAGUUUAAAGGUGUUUUCCUUGGGGGAACGUUGGCUGUUACAACACAGAAAAGUCUGAGUUAUUUGUCACAAGCCUCCAACUCUAGGAUUUAACAAUAGCAGAAAAAGAGUUUGAGUUGGCUUCAUCUCCAGCCUACUAGCAGGAAGGCCAUAACAAGUCCAGCUGCCAGCUCCAGGCACAGCUCAACAAUGUCCAGAGGAAGAUGGCACUGUCUACUCCUGUGUGUCAUGAGAUGGCUAAACGUCUCCCCAAAGCUCCCAGGUGACAUUAAAACACGCUUGUCAGCAGAUGGAAAUAACCCAGCCAUGAGGAAGAAAGUGAAAGAAAAUGAGAUAACUGGGAGCCAAGAUCUUUGUUAAGUUACGAAUGAAUGAAUGAAUGAAUGAAUGAAUGUGAGGUGAUAGAUGUGUUAAUUAACUAGGUGGUGGGAAUCUUUCACGGUGUAUAUGUAUAUCAAAUCACUACCAUGGACACUUUAAAUAUAUUACAAUAUUAUUUGUCAUUUAUAUCACAAUAAAGCUGAAAAAAUUUUAUUAAA